rnacentral:lncRNA from 1 species
UUUCACAUAGCGAAAUUUCGAUUGGUAAAAUUCUUUUGGUUUAAACACAAACACGUUACAGCCGUCUUUUAUAAUUUACAAUAAAUAUAAAAAUAAGAAGAUGUGGUUUCAUUGCCAAUCAGGCAACUAUCGACAACAGACUCAACAUUCCCAAUGACACAGAAAUUACAAGUAUCGGUCACCGUACGGUCUUCAGCAAUGAGUAAAAUCUAUACCGCAUAGUCCGCUACAAAAAGCCGCGAUGUAAAACAUUUCAAUCGAGAAAACUAGUGGCCUGAUUUAUGAACAAAACAAUGAACGAAAAACAAAAAUGUUAUUCUACAAACGACAAC